rnacentral:ncRNA from 2 species
GAGUUGCCGGACAAAACGGCUAGCCGUUUUGAACAGCGCUUGCGCUGGCCCCGUAGGGGCGAGGCCCAGGGAUAGGCCGAGUUAUUGCCAACGCA